rnacentral:misc_RNA from 1 species
AACGCACAUUGCGCCCCGUGGUAUUCCGCGGGGCAUGCCUGUUCGAGCGUCAUUUCAACCCAUCAAGCUUCUGCUUGGUCUUGGGGCCUGCGGUUCCGCAGCCUCUAAACUCAGUGGCGGUGCUAUUGAGCUCUGAGCGUAGUAAUUUUUCUCGCUAUAGGGUCUCCGUGGUUACUUGCCAGCAACCCCCAAUUUUUAUCAGGUUGACCUCGGAUCAGGUAGGGAUACCCGCUGAACUUAA